GAAAAAACAAUAUUGAAUAAUUCUAAUGUUUUAAAAUUUAAUUUAUGUUACAAAAUUUAGUGAAUAAAAAUGUUUUAUAUUUAUUAGUUUGCCAUGAUUUCUCUGAUUGAAUCAUGACAAAAUACUUAUUCAGUUCUAACUGUUUAUUAAAUAAGCUUGGGUCUUUAAGGCUUGACCUUGGUGAAUGCAGUAAAAAAUAUUUAAAUAAGAUCUUAUGUGUAAAACACUUCAAUGUGCCUUUUUUAUAUUUUUUUCUUUUUUAGGCCAACUCUCACAUGUUGGCUUUCCGCCAACAUGUGAGAGUUGCAAAAUAUGUUAAGGACUUAAUUCAGAGAUAAUGUUGCUAAACGAUUUACAGUCGAUAAUCUUUCGAAAGCAGAAAAACUCAGUGUCAAACAAAGAAUACGCGAAUUAUUUGAGAUUUGAUUGAAAUUUGCAAAGAAAGUAAAAAUCAAACUAGUUUCAUUCUAAGUUAUUGUAUAUAAUUUUAAAAUUUUGGAAUAGCA